CGCCGAGGUGCUGGUGGAGCCUGGGACUGGGCGAGUCUCCGCCCCGCUAUUGCAGCUAGGGGUGUGUUUCAGGGGGGACUGGGGCAAGCCAAGCAGGCGAGGACCCGGGCCUGUGCCGCUGUUUGCCUACCCCUCAUCCCUCGGCACCAAGGCUACUCGAGCCCCAGGGUGUUUUUUCCUUGUUCCCGCCACCUCCUGGUCCCUGGCCCAACAUGAUACUGACCAAAGCUCAGUACGACGAGAUAGCCCAGUGCCUAGUGUCUGUACCGCCUACCAGGCAGAGCCUGAGGAAGCUGAAGCAGAGGUUUCCCAGUCAAUCGCAGGCCACUCUGCUGAGCAUCUUCUCCCAGGAGUACCAGAAACACAUUAAAAGAACACAUGCCAAACAUCAUACUUCGGAAGCAAUUGAAAGUUAUUACCAGAGGUACCUGAAUGGAGUGGUGAAAAAUGGAGCUGCCCCAGUGCUCCUGGACCUGGCCAAUGAGGUGGACUAUGCGCCCUCAUUAAUGGCUCGGCUUAUACUGGAGAGGUUUCUACAGGAACACGAGGAAACUCCACCCUCCAAGUCUGUUAUAAAUAGUAUGCUACGGGACCCUUCUCAGAUUCCAGAUGGAGUUCUAGCAAAUCAGGUCUAUCAGUGCAUUGUGAACGACUGCUGUUAUGGACCACUGGUGGACUGCAUCAAGCAUGCCAUUGGUCAUGAGCAUGAGGUCCUGCUGAGAGACUUGCUUCUAGAGAAAAACCUGUCCUUCCUAGAUGAAGAUCAGCUCCGUGCAAAGGGUUAUGACAAAACACCAGACUUCAUUUUACAAGUACCAGUUGUAAUGCUUUGUCCCUUAGCUGUGGAAGGGCACAUAAUUCACUGGAUUGAAAGCAAAGCCUCAUUUGGUGAUGAAUGUAGCCACCAUGCCUACCUGCAUGACCAGUUCUGGAGCUACUGGAAUAGUUUCAGUUAAUAGAAAAAAUUUUAUUUGUGUGGAAUCAAAAUCUAAUUCUUGGCUACUUUCAAGCAUUGUCCUAAGUCUGCACUUGAGAGCUACAGCAUGAAUCAAAUCCUUCCUCCAUAAGAGCACUCUCAAAAUCAGAACAUGGGUCCCAAUAUAACAGACAAAUGGUGAAACAGAGGGAUAAUCACUAGGAAACAGGUAUGCACAGAAGGGCCAGCUUUAGUUCCACCGUCUCUGAUUGAAUUUCUCUAAAUACCCUAAAAUGGAAUGAAACCAGAGAAUCACUUUUUUUUUUUUUUUUCAGAGUCUUGCUCUGUCAUCCAGGCCGGAGUGCAGUAGUGCAGUCUCAGCUCACUGCAACCUCCGUCUCCUGGGUUCAAGAGAUUCUCCCACUACAGCCUCUCGAGUAGCUAGGACUACAGGCGAGCACCACCACACCUGGCUAAUUUUUUUGUAUUUUUAGUGGAGACGGGGUUUCACCAUGUUGGCCAGGCUGGUCUCAAACUCCUGACCUCAAGUGAUCAGCCUGCCUCAGCCUCCCAAAGUGCUGGGAUUACAGGCGUGAGCCACUGUCCCCAGCCAAGAAACACAUUUUGAACAUAUUUAUAAGGGGUCAUUACUUACGAAAAACCUCAUCUUUCUUGCCUUCAUGGUCUGUGAUGGCUCUUGACUUUCACCUCCCAUUUUUUCAAAGGGUAUUUGUUGUUUUUGCUAAUUUGGUGAUAUUUUAUUUGCAAGCAAAAUUACUUAUUCAAACGUCAUUCACAUUCUAGUCUCUGCUUCCCAGGAGUCUUUAAAAUCCAUUGGGGGUCUUUGAUCUUAUUACUUGACCAUGAGUAUAGCAACCAUAAAAUUAUAGUCAACUUUAAAAAGUGUUUCCAGAAUAAAUUCAGAUGUCCAUGGACACCCAUUCCUGAGGGUCUCCCAGCUGGCAGGGAGGGCUGCAAUCUCAGUAGCAGACCAACCUCUGCUGUGCACAUCUCCUCAGACCCAAGGACUCUGUUUUCUUUUCAAUGUUGUUAACAAAGUCUCUUUGAUUUUUAUUGGUCACAAAGGUUGUAUUUGCCUUCCCAGUGAUCUCAUUUUUGUCUAGUGGUGCCACAGUAAAUGAGAAUAGGCAUCAAAAAGGGGAAAUGGUUCAACCCAAAAGUCUGCAUUUGACCUAAAUAAAAAUUUUCUAGGGUCCUAUUUUACACCUCUUCUACCAUUUUUGAUUGCUUGGUGUUUCAAAUUAGCAACCAAAACUUCCCCUCCUGUUACUUCAGAUAACCGAGAAAUUGAUUAUAUAAAGUUGCUUAAUGUGGUCAGCCUCUUCAUAAACAGGUAGGUUGCUGAAAGAUUAUCUUGUCAGCAUCUGAUAAUCUCUGGAUCCUGAGCUGUUGAAGAAGGCUCAGAAAUGCACUAAAGUAGGUGCUGGGAAUAAGGCCAGAUCUUGUUCUGCCAUUAAAUUUCCAAACUUGUCACCCUCUAAAGUCCUUAUUGCUUUUGUCACCCAAAGACCACAUAAUUUGAAAGCCUAUCAAUCUCUAUUUACAAAGGGACAUUGUGUUUCCUCAUUCUUAAUUAAUUAAGACAUAUUGUCAAUCAGAGGUUAUGAGCUACAUUGACAGAGGUAAUGUUACCUAACCUAAACAUAGUUCCAUAAGAAACACGAAACUUAGAUAGACAGUAGAGUCUUAUUAAUGAAUCCUACUCAAAAUGUACAUAGAUCUGUGUUGGUAUCUUUAGGGAAUCCCGGUUGUGAACCACUGCAUGAAAUGUUCAGGUUCACAAUCUUGCAAAACCUUUUUGAGUUGCAGGAAUAUCUGUUGCCUCACAAGUGAAACAAGUCCAUUUUCUUGAGCAUUGAGGUGUUCCCCAGCCUGGCUUUUCUGCCUAGAAAAUGCCAUUUUCGUAAAGAGCUGUCAUGCUUCGUGUCCUUUGGCUUAUGAUUUAGCUGUUCAAACAAAGUGCAGGCUGCUCUCACUCGCUCAGUGCUGGUGAUAUGUGUUUUUGUUUUAAUAAAUCUUUAAAACACUGGGCUUGUUUUUUAUGACCUCCAUAUAUUCUUUUGUUCUUCUCUGUGACUUGUUAGAUCACAGUUUUUUUCUUCCUUUGUGAAAAUAUUAGUGCCUUUCUGAAGAACAUCAUGGUCACCAGAAUGGCUGUAUAAUAAAAUGGAAGAAUGUGUCGAGCUUAAUGUUAGAUCUGUCAAGGCCAUGACUCAGGGGUGCUUCACUGAUGGGAAGGUUUGAGGCUUCUCAGACAUGGUCCACAGAAUCACAAAUCUUUCUGUUCUUGCCAGACUUGUUUUGACAAAUCUGAGAUCAUUUGACACUAAUCAUAGAGCUCUUUGUAAAAUAAAGGUACCAAUGGUUUAUGUUCCAAUUACAGACAAGUGUUUGUGAUUAAAAGUUACUAAGAAACCCUCGGUUAAAUGGAAGCAAGUUCUUCUGCAGGUGUGAGCUUCGUCUUGUAUGCAUUUGAGCCUGGGGACCCACACACCUGUGCACAGGUAGCCUAAUUCUACUGACCUCAAAGGAAUCUCUUCUUUGGGGAUGCUGAGGAAGAAGAGAACAUCUGCAGCUGAUAAAUCUCAGUGGGCCUGGUGCUCCAAGGCUUCUAAUUAUACCCAGUUCCUACUUCUUCUGGAACAAGAUCAAGUGAUGAGCUGCCAUCUCACGGUUCUGUACCUGCACAGAGGGGACUCCCAAAGUUUUAAAUAAUCUUGAAUACAACCUGGCUACCCCACUAAUGUGGAUCCCCAAAUAAACCAGGCCGUGACAUCCAAUUGAACUUGUUCCUGUGCAUACAGUAUCUCGCAGCCCAUCCUGUAUUGUUAGUUUUGGCAAGUACACUACAGCAUAUAAUAAAUCAUGGAAGGAAAAAGCUUUUUGGCCUAGCAUGGUUCAGCCUGCUGUAAUGUUAGAAUACAGAAAGCAGUUCUGUUUUUAGACAUCCUUUUACUAACCCAACAUUCAUAAUUUAUUAUUUCACUGUAAAAUUCCUGCAACACUACACCAAAAGUAGUGCUGCCCUUUAAUUAAGUGCCCUCAGUAGGAAAAACGUGAAACUGAUGUGCAAAACAUCUCUCUGUGUGCAGUGAUUGAUAGUGAUUACAUCUUUAUGAACCCAGCCUAAAGGUCUCAACUUCCUGAUGGGUGAAGUAGUCUAUAGGGCCACUUCCUGAGUCUGCCUGGUGGGGAUCAGUCACUGCUAACAAAAUUGCAGAUAAUUCAGAGGGCACAACUUAGAAAUGCUGAGGUUUUAUUAAGCCCGUAGCUGUCUAUACUUUGUCACAAGCCUACAUGACCUUAUUCCUCAUUUCCAUAAGCACCAAUGACCAAACUUUAUGCUGUGGCCACACUUAGAGAAGUUGUAAUGCAGAGAGUAAAGGGACCCAGUGUGUCAUAUGGAUGACAGGAGGUACUUCCAGCCCAAUGGGUGCAUGAGUAGAACAGUAUAGCCAGAAGAGGACCAUAAGUUGUUGCAUUUUUUAAAUUCUGUUUUCAAACAUUCUUUUAUUUUUCUUAGUUGCAAUUAGGCAACUUUAAUUUUUUAAAUAGUACCAUUAAAUCUUAGACUUAAAUCCCAAGGCGGGCAUUCCCCAGCUCAUUCCUGUUUGCACUGUGAAUCUGUCCUCCAUCAGCUAGGUAGUCACAUCAGCCCAAGCUCAUAACACCUUACUGAAAGGUAAGAUUCGGAGUUUCCAUAUCUGAAAUACUUCAGGUUUCUGGAAAGAAAGGGAACACAUCCAUCCGAGAAGGUAGUAUGUGUGUUAUGUGAACUCCUUGGUAUACGUUUGGCUAUUUUCAGUCAUAAUGGUAGCAACCAAAACAAAAAUUUUGUGCAGUCCUGUCAUUUAAUCAUCUUAUCAGUACCCCAAGGUGGCUUUUUUCAAGAGCUCUGUUGAUACCGUGUGUGUGUGUGUGUUGU